AUUGAACGCUGGCGGAAUGCUUUACACAUGCAAGUCGAACGGCAGCACGGGGCAACCUGGUGGCGAGUGGCGAACGGGUGAGUAAUACAUCGGAACGUGCCCAAUCGUGGGGGAUAACGUAGCGAAAGUUACGCUAAUACCGCAUACGAUCUACGGAUGAAAGCGGGGGAUCGCAAGACCUCGCGCGAGUGGAGCGGCCGAUGUCAGAUUAGGUAGUUGGUGGGGUAAAGGCUCACCAAGCCAACGAUCUGUAGCUGGUCUGAGAGGACGACCAGCCACACUGGAACUGAGACACGGUCCAGACUCCUACGGGAGGCAGCAGUGGGGAAUUUUGGACAAUGGGCGCAAGCCUGAUCCAGCCAUUCCGCGUGCAGGAUGAAGGCCUCGGUUGUAACUAGCUUUGUA
rnacentral:rRNA from 1 species